UACGAAGGGGGGCUAGCGUUGCUCGGAAUCACUGGGCGUAAAGGGUGCGUAGGCGGGUCUUUAAGUCAGAGGUGAAAUCCUGGAGCUCAACUCCAGAACUGCCUUUGAUACUGAGGAUCUUGAGUUCGGGAGAGGUGAGUGGAACUGCGAGUGUAGAGGUGAAAUUCGUAGAUAUUCGCAAGAACACCAGUGGCGAAGGCGGCUCACUGGCCCCGAUACUGACGCUGAGGCACGAAAAGCGUGGGGGAGCAAACAGGG
rnacentral:rRNA from 1 species